rnacentral:rRNA from 1 species
ACCACGUUAAGUGGGUAAGGUCACAGGAAGAACACCUGUUAAUAGGCGCUAGGUGGAAGUCCAGUAAUGGAUGCAGCCGAGGCGUGCUAACCGACCGAGGGCUUGACCUC